rnacentral:rRNA from 1 species
ACAGAUGUGAAGCUCCAGAUUGAACGCUGGCGGGAUGCUUUACGCCACAGUCGGAGCAGCAGCACGGACUUCGGUCUGGUGGCGAGUGGCGAGCAGGGUGAUGACAUAAUCAGAACGUGCCUAGUAGCGGGGGAUAACUACGCGAAAGCGUAAUACGCCUACGCCCUUCGGAAAGCGGGGGACCUUCGGGCCUCGCACUAUUAAAGGCGGCCGAUAUCGGAUUGAGGAUUGGUGGGGUAACGGCUCACCAAGGCGACGAUCCGUAGCUGGUUUUUGAGAGGACGACCAGCCACACUGGGACUGAGGACACCGGCCCAGACUCCUACAGGGGAGGCAGCAGUGGGGAAUUUUGGACAAUGGGGAAACCCUGAUCCAGCCAUCCCGCGUGUGCGAUGAAGGCCUUCGGGUUGUAAGCACUUUUGGCAGGAAAAAGAAACGGCACGGAUAAUACCCCGAUGCAACUGACGGUACCACAGAAUAAGCGGCACCGGCUAACUACGGUAAGCAGCCGCAGUGGCGUAGGAGUGCAAGCGUUAAUCAGAUUACUGGGCGUAAAGCGUGCGCGAGCGGGUUCGGAAAGAAAGAUGUGAAAUCCCAGAGCUUAACUUUGGAACUGUUUUUAACUACCAGCGAAGCUAGAGUGUGUCAGAGGGAGGUGGAAUUCCGCUGUAUCGCGUGAAAUGCAUGAUGUUGGAGGAACACCGAUAGCGAAAGGCAGCCUCUGGGAUAACACUGACGCUCUUACGCGGCGUGGGAGCAAACAGGAUUAGAUACCUGGUGAGUCACGCCCUAAACGAUGUCAGCUAGCUGUUGGGGCCUUCGGGCCUUGGUGGCGGCUAACGCGUGAAGUUGACCGCCUGGAAAUGCGGUCGCAAGAUUAAAACUCCAAAGGGGUGACGGGGACCCGCAAGCGGUGGAUGAUGUGGAUUAAUUCGAUGCAACGCGAAAAACCUUACCUACCCUUGACAUGUCUGGAAUCCCGAAGAGAUUUGGGAGUGCCAAAGAGAACCGGAACACAGGUGCUGCAUGGCUGUCGUCAUCGUGUCGUGAGAUGUUGGGUUAAGUCCCACGAGCGCAACCCUUGUCAUUAGUUGCUACGAAAGGGUACUCUAAUGAGACUGCCGGUGACAAACCGGAGGAAGGUGGGGAUGACGUCAAGUCCUCUUGGCCCCUUAUGGGUAGGGCUUCACACGUCAUACAAUGGUCGCGGGACAGAGGGUCGCCAACCCGCGAGGGGAACCAAUCCCAGAAACCCGAUCGUAGUCGGAUCGCAAGUCCCGCAACUCGACUGCGUGAAGUCGGAAUCGCUAGUAAUCGCGGAUCAGCAUAUCGCGGUGAAUACGUUCCCGGGUCUUGUACACACCGCCCGUCACACCAUGGGAGUGGGUUUUACCAGAAGUAACUUAGCCUAACCGUAAGGAGGCGGUGCCACGGUAGGAUUCAUGACUGGGGUGAAGUCGGCAACAAGGUAA